GUGAAACUGCGAAUGGCUCAUUAAAUCAGUUAUCGUUUAUUUGAUAGUACCUUACUACAUGGAUAACCGUGGUAAUUCUAGAGCUAAUACAUGCUAAAAACCCCGACUUCGGAAGGGGUGUAUUUAUUAGAUAAAAAACCAAUGCCCUUCGGGGCUCCCUGGUGAUUCAUAAUAACUCAACGAAUCGCAUGGCCUUGCGCCGGCGAUGGUUCAUUCAAAUUUCUGCCCUAUCAACUUUCGAUGGUAGGAUAGUGGCCUACCAUGGUAUCAACGGGUAACGGGGAAUUAGGGUUCUAUUCCGGAGAGGGAGCCUGAGAAACGGCUACCACAUCCAAGGAAGGCAGCAGGCGCGCAAAUUACCCAAUCCCGACACGGGGAGGUAGUGACAAUAAAUACUGAUACGGGGCUCUUUUGGGUCUCGUAAUUGGAAUGAGUACAAUUUAAAUCCCUUAACGAGGAACAAUUGGAGGGCAAGUCUGGUGCCAGCAGCCGCGGUAAUUCCAGCUCCAAUAGCGUAUAUUAAAGUUGUUGCAGUUAAAAAGCUCGUAGUUGAACCUUGGGCCUGGCUGGCCGGUCCGCCUCACCGCGUGUACUGGUCCGGCCGGGCCUUUCCUUCUGGGGAAUCGCAUGCCCUUCACUGGGUGUGUCGGGGAACCAGGACUUUUACUUUGAAAAAAUUAGAGUGUUCAAAGCAGGCCUUUGCUCGAAUACAUUAGCAUGGAAUAAUAGAAUAGGACGUGCGGUUCUAUUUUGUUGGUUUCUAGGACCGCCGUAAUGAUUAAUAGGGAUAGUCGGGGGCAUCAGUAUUCAAUUGUCAGAGGUGAAAUUCUUGGAUUUAUUGAAGACUAACUACUGCGAAAGCAUUUGCCAAGGAUGUUUUCAUUAAUCAGUGAACGAAAGUUAGGGGAUCGAAGACGAUCGACUUAUGGGCCUCGGUGGGCCUUUGGCUACGUAAAUAGAGGCGCAGUCGCGUCGUCGUAAUGCCCCUUUUGAAAGUGGCAGUAGCCACCCACCGAGGGCAAGUUGUAUCUGGUCGUCAACAGCUCAUCGAGACCUCGCGGUUGCUUUGAGCUAGUUCGUGACUGCUCGUCCGUGAGACGACGUCGCGAGCGACACUGUCAAAUUGCGGGAACACCUCAGGGGGACGUAGCUACCAUCUCGAGCUGGGAAACCGGCGCGAGAUACCUCGAUUUAAAGGUCGAGGGUGUGGUAACAACGCGACGUCACGUGCAGGCAAUCCGCAGCCAAGCCCUUCCGUUCCGAGCGAGCGAUGGGUGCAGUUCACAGGCCAAAUGUCAGUGGACGCGGUCCUUUCCGCGUUUAAGAUAUGGUCGAGCCCGGUGGGAAACCGCGAGGGCAGUUAGGUAAAAUGCAGAUACCGUCGUAGUCUUAACCAUAAACUAUGCCGACUAGGGAUCGGGCGAUGUUAUCAUUUUGACUCGCU
rnacentral:rRNA from 1 species